UACAUGGGGUGCAAACGUUGCUCGGAAUUAUUGGGCGUAAAGGGCGCGUAGGCGGUCCUUCAAGUCAGGCGUGAAAGCCCCGGGCUCAACCUGGGAACCGCGCUUGAGACUGGCGGGCUAGAGUUCGGGAGAGGAUGGUGGAAUUCCCAGUGUAGAGGUGAAAUUCGUAGAUAUUGGGAAGAACACCGAUGGCGAAGGCAGCCAUCUGGACCGACACUGACGCUGAGGCGCGAAAGCGUGGGGAGCAAACAGG
rnacentral:rRNA from 1 species